GACGAACGCUGGCGGCGUGCUUAACACAUGCAAGUCGAACGGUAAGGCUCCAGUUUGCUGGGAUACACGAGUGGCGAACGGGUGAGUAACACGUGGGUGACCUGCCCUGCACUUCGGGAUAAGCCUGGGAAACUGGGUCUAAUACCGGAUAGGACCGCACCGCGUGGGUGGGGUUGGAAGUUUUUUCGGUGUGGGAUGGGCCUGCGGCCUAUCCGCUUUUUGGUGGGGUAAUGGCCUACCAAGGCGGCGCCGGGUAGCCGGCCUGGGGGGGUGGACGGCCACAUUGGGACUGAGACACGGCCCAGACUCCUACGGGAGGCAGCAGUGGGGAUUAUUGCACAAUGGGCGGAAGCCUGAUGCAGAGACGCCGCGUGGGGGAUGACGGCCUUCGGGUUGUAACCGCCUUUCACCAUCGACGAAGGGUUUCUGACGGUAGAUGGAGAAGAAGCACCGGCUAACUACGUG
rnacentral:rRNA from 1 species